CUUCAAACUAAAUUUAAUGGCUCCUACCCAGAGAUUCUACCCAGUGAAACUCCCACAGCAACGCAGGUAGAUGGGGCUGACCUGGCCUCUCCAAUGUCUCCUCGAACUAGCAAAAGCCGCAUGUCCAUGAAGCUGCGUCGUUCCUCUGGCUCAGCCAAUAAAUCCUAAGGAGACAAGCAGCCCAGCAGUGAUCAGCAGUAGCCACCUUAGCACGAACAUAGGGUUAACCCUUUCAGGCCUUCAUGUCUGCCAUAACAUGCAUGUUUCUUCCUGUACAUUUAUUUGAGAAAACACUGGAUUUAAAUAAUUUUAAAUAAUUUGUAGCUUAAUAUUAAAGAUUUAAGUUAUUUAUUGUUUCAUUUUUUUUCCCACAAUCCAAGCUGCCAUAUUUUGAGGGCAGGGGGAGUUUUAUUCUACACCCUUUACCUUCCUAGAUAAUUAUGUCUAAGUAGUUUUAUCUUUAAUUUCAUGGUUAACUGUGAGCCAAAAUACAAUUGGACAAUUAGUCUCAUUAUUUAUUGUGCCCCAUUGCAACUUUAUGGUUCAAUAAAUAUAUAAUUUUUUACAAAUGUAAAAUUUUACAUUUAAGCAUUUGUAAAGUUACAGCAAAAGAUGUACCUGUUAAUACACAGAAUGUGUACAGAUUAUUUGUUAUGACAAUAAAACACUCAAAAUAAAUGGUCUUUAGCAUCUCAAAUUCCAACUGAAAUCAUUUUAGUAUUAACUCUUCUUCCCAAAGCAAUGUCUCAUUUCUUGGCUGUGCAGGUGAUGCCAUGUUAUAUCCAAUAACUAGAAAAAUCACUGUGCUGAACUUUUAUGUUUAGCUUCCAAGUAUUUUUCUAAUGUUUUGCAUUUCAAGUGGUAUCACUGUUAAAUGCCAUUUGUUUUCAGAUUGUGGCCUUUUAUUAUUGGCUGCUAGAUCCUGGUGUUUCUAUGUUCUUUUUUAAGCACCAAAAAGAAGAUGGGGAAGAAAAGAAGGAAAAUUUUCUGAUAUAAAUAUGUUGUUCAAAUUAUGAGUAUUAUUUAAAAAAGAAAAAGGAACAUAACCCAGGAGUCUAAGUUAAAUCUAAUAUUGUUAAUACUGAACUUGCAGGUCCAGGUUGGUAUACAUUCCACCCUCUAGAAGUAUUUUCUUACAGUAGAUAAGCUGCUCACAUUUUGUUUUGAAUGGGCAUCUCCUGAGGAAAUGUAGCAUGACAUUGGUACUAACUGCAUGUGUAAAUACAUCAUACUGGCAAACCGUAAAAUAUAAAUUAUGUAUCAUCAUUCAUGUAGUAUCUAUAAUUUGUAACAGUGGGGGGGAAAGAUGACAUGGUAUUU
rnacentral:lncRNA from 10 species